CCAUGCCGCGUGUGUGAAGAAGGCUUUCGGGUUGUAAAGCACUUUCAGUGAGGAGGAAAGGUUAGUAGUUAAUAACUGCUAACUGUGACGUUACUCGCAGAAGAAGCACCGGCUAACUCCGUGCCAGCAGCCGCGGUAAUACGGAGGGUGCGAGCGUUAAUCGGAAUUACUGGGCGUAAAGCGCGCGUAGGCGGUUAAUUAAGUCAGAUGUGAAAGCCCAGGGCUCAACCUUGGAACUGCAUUUGAAACUGGUUAACUAGAGUUUUGUAGAGGGUGGUAGAAUUUCAGGUGUAGCGGUGAAAUGCGUAGAGAUCUGAAGGAAUACCAGUGGCGAAGGCGGCCACCUGGACAAUAACUGACGCUGAGGCGCGAAGGCGUGGGGAGCAAACGGGAUUAGAUACCCCGGUAGUCCACGCAGUAAACGAUGUCUAUUAGAAGUCUGUGGCUAUAUGCCGUGGGUUUCAAAGCUAACGCAUUAAAUAGACCGCCUGGGGAGUACGGCCGCAAGGUUAAAACUCAAAUGAAUUGACGGGGGCCCGCACAAGCGGUGGAGCAUGUGGUUUAAUUCGAUGCAACGCGAAGAACCUUACCAUCCCUUGACAUCCAGAGAAUCACCUAGAGAUAGAUGAGUGCCUUCGGGAACUCUGAGACAGGUGCUGCAUGGCUGUCGUCAGCUCGUGUUGUGAAAUGUUGGGUUAAGUCCCGCAACGAGCGCAACCCUUAUCCUUAGUUGCCAGCACGUAAUGGUGGGAACUCUAGGGAGACUGCCGGUGAUAAACCGGAGGAAGGUGGGGACGACGUCAAGUCAUCAUGGCCCUUACGGGAUGGGCUACACACGUGCUACAAUGGCAGAUACAAAGGGUUGCUAACCAGCGAUGGUAUGCGAAUCUCAUAAAGUCUGUCGUAGUCCGGAUCGGAGUCUGCAACUCGACUCCGUGAAGUUGGAAUCGCUAGUAAUCGUGGAUCAGAAUGCCACGGUGAAUACGUUCCCGGCCCUUGUACACACCGCCCGUCACACCAUGGGAGUGGGCUGCACCAGAAGUCAUUAGCUUAACCUUCGGGAUGGCGAUGACCACGGUGUGGUUCAUGACUGGGGUGAAGUCGUAACAAGGUA
rnacentral:rRNA from 1 species